CCCCUCACUCUCUCCACUCCCAGACUCCCAGUCCACUCACGAUGGCAGAUCUCGGCGAGUCACCCACCCCACCGCCUCCGCUCUCGCCCCCACAGCCGGCGACCUCGUCUCGCACCGCCACCCCAUCUCAUCCCCUCCCCAACUCCCCUCCACUCAUCCGACGGCGGCUAGAGACGCACACAACCGGCGACCAACAUCACACAAAGGUCGCCACCGCCGGCGGUGGAAGGACAGUCUUCUCCCGCCGCUAGCCGCAACCUCUGCCUCGCCCUGAUCCUCGGCCUCCUCGACCGCCGCUCGCUCUCCUGGGAAGCACCUCGCCACCUCCCUUCCCAUGCUGUCUUCGCCGACUGCCCUGCUCGCGCCGACCUCGCGAAUCUCGCGGCCGCGCUUGGCAGUGCUCGACUUGUCCUCGCCGCCGCCAGCGGCGACGGGUCCUUCCCGUGCCUCUACCGCCUCGUGGCCGAGUCCUCCUCUCCCCAAAUCGACACCCGCCCCUUUGUCGAGCCUGCCGUGCCAGCGACAUGAGCAGGAUGGUGGCCGUCGAGGCUUCGGAUGCGGUCGACGCAGAUGAGAACAGUUCAUAGAGUCGUACCAGCCCAGCAAUCUGUUCAUGCCAAAUGAUUGAGUCCUGGUGAGGUUCAUUGCUGGACAUGCAUGGUCUCCGCAGGCAAGGAACACAUAAAAGUAAUUCAGCGUGUUAUCAGAAACUCAUGAGCAUGAAAGAGAAAUUUGGAUCAUGUUCGAACAUGGUAGAGAGCAGAUCGAGGAGAACUUGAAGAUUAAAGGCAAUGAAAGGUUCCGUAAAAUGGCAGCGGGUAGAGUUCUUGUUCUACACAAAGGAAGUUAACUAACCUUCUUGUAUUAUCUUUAUAUCUGCAUGAUUUUGGUAGAUUGAGUUGUGCAAUGGAUUAACUACUUUGGUUCAAGUUUUCUUCUUCCUAGGCUGGUCGAGAUUAAGAAAACCAAAAAAAAUAAAAAACAUAGGAGAGUAGAAGAAACCACACAGAAAAGCAUAGAGUCAGGGGGCAGCAUCAUCUCGUCCUCCAUUAGUAGUAAUUUUUCUCGGACACAAAUCUUAUUUCUCAUACGCCAUUGACAAGACAAACUUGCUUGGAGUUUUGGCUCCAGGGAGCAUAUACUCCCUGGUGAACAGUAAAUAGAAAACAAAAUCCUGAAGAUGGAUCUUGUUUUGUAAACACAAUAAUUUUUCAAAAUCCUGAAGUUUUUCUGUAGACUUUCAUGUUAGUGUAACAAGCGUGCUUGCCAAUUAUUUCGGUCUACUCCUUGCUCUUGCUUUGGUGUCAUCACUCUACUUCUCUCCAUACAGUUUCACCCUGACAUGAAAAGCUAGUUCUUAUUAUCCAUGUCAUUUGUUUUUGUAUGCAUUGGUAACACUCACAUGUACAUAUGUGCUCCUCAAAUAUUUGGAUUUUGAACCACCAGACCAUUCAAAUAAAUGCAUGGACUCUUACCUAGAUAUAAAUAAAUGGCAGGGAUAGUUGCAUCAGUACAUGCUUGAGGAACACUAUGUUUGACCACGAAGAUAGGUUUGUGCCAAGUACUGAUUUGUGAUUUGUGACAAGUACUGAUUUGUCACAAGUAUAUAUACAAACUGAAGAUAGUUCCAUCAGUAUAUAUAAAAACUGAAGAUAGUCAACUAAGUGCAUAUAAGUGCAUAAUGGAUUCCAUAUCAAUUAUGUACCACAGUUAUUUUAACAAGCUCUUGAUAAUUAAAAAAAAGGAACACUAUGGAGCAUGUACUCCCUCUUUUCCAAAUUACUCGUCGCAGAAAUUGAUGUAUCUAGAACUAAAAUACAUCUAGAUACAUCCAUACAUGCGACAAGUAAUUCGGAACGGAGGGAGUAUAUAGCAAAUUAUCCUCUCUGAGCCAUGUUCUUGGUACAGAUUACUUCGGUAGAACGUCAGAUAAAUUAUAGCCGGGGUUAGGAUACCUCUCGAGAAGCAGUAUAUGCCUCGCUAGCACACAAGAACAGUCAGCUCCAUGUAUGAAUCGGACGAACAGUUGGGGCUAUGUCACACCACCAAUCGAACACCGCGCCAGGACCCUUGUCUCGCUCGCAGCCGCGCCGGCACCCGUGGAUCGCUGGAAGCCAGGCCGGCACCCGUGUCUAGCUGGCAGCCGUGCCCGGCACCGGGGGCAAAGUUUGAAGAAACAGGCCUCGCACACCUGAUCCGAUGGCAAACUUUGAAGAAACAGUUCAAAUCCACAUGAUCCGAACGCAAACCUGGAAGCAUGGAGAAUCAGGCCUUGCUCGCCCCGCUCGGAAGAUAGGAUUUGGAAAUUGUUUGUUGUAUAUGGAAAGAGCAAAAAUAUUAGAUUAAACUAUUGUUUAUGGAAGCUUCUCGUGACGGAAUUUUCCGAUAUGGUUCCAUAUGAUUUGAUUUGAUUGGUGUCGUAAAUUGAAGGGAAGGACGGAAGGUUUGUUGUUUUAUAUGGAAAGGGGAUGGAACGUUU
rnacentral:rRNA from 1 species